GUGUCAGCCGCCGCGGUAAUACAGAGGGUGCAAGCGUUGUUCGGAAUUAUUGGGCGUAAAGGGAGUGUAGGCGGCUUCUUAAGUCUGCUGUGAAAUCUACGGGCUUAGCCUGUAACGUGCAGCGGAAACUGGGGAGCUUGAGUGUCGGAGAGGGUAGCGGAAUUCCCGGUGUAGAGGUGAAAUUCGUAGAGAUCGGGAGGAACACCAGUGGCGAAGGCGGCUACCUGGCUGACAACUGACGCUGAGACUCGAAAGCAUGGGGAGCAAACAGGAUUAGAUACCCUUGUAGUCC
rnacentral:rRNA from 1 species